UCACUGCUUGCGCAGGCAGUCCUUCUAGAGUCCCCGGCAUGACCCGCUGGCAACUAACAACAGGGGUUGCGCUCGUUAUAGGACUUAACCUGACACCUCACGGCACGAGCUGACGACAACCAUGCAGCACCUUGUAAUGAGCCCGAAGGAGGACCUGUUUCCAAGCCUGUCCCACUACAUUUAAGCCCUGGUAAGGUUCCUCGCGUAUCAUCGAAUUAAACCACAUGCUCCACCGCUUGUGCGGGCCCCCGUCAAUUCCUUUGAGUUUCAAACUUGCGUUCGUACUCCCCAGGUGGGAUACUUAUCACUUUCGCUUAGCCACUCAGGAUUGCUCCCGAACAGCUAGUAUCCAUCGUUUACGGCGUGGACUAC
rnacentral:misc_RNA from 1 species